ACUCCUACGGGAGGCAGCAGUGGGAAUAUUGCACAAUGGGCGCAAGCCUGAUGCAGCGACGCCGCGUGGGGAUGGACGGCCUCGGGUUGUAACCUCUUUCAGUACAGACGAAGCGCAAGUGACGGUAUGUACAGAAGAAGCACCGGCCAACUACGUGCCAGCAGCCGCGGUAAUACGUAGGGUGCGAGCGUUGUCCGGAAUUACUGGGCGUAAAGAGCUCGUAGGUGGUUUGUCGCGUUGUUCGUGAAAACCUGAGGCUUAACCUUGGGCGUGCGGGCGAUACGGGCAGACUGGAGUACUGCAGGGAGACUGGAAUUCCUGGUGUAGCGGUGGAAUGCGCAGAUAUCAGGAGGAACACCGGUGGCGAAGGCGGGUCUCUGGGCAGUAACUGACGCUGAGGAGCGAAAGCGUGGGGAGCGAACAGGAUUAGAUACCCUGUAGGCUCU
rnacentral:rRNA from 1 species